GCCGAGCUAGCUCAUCGGUAGAGCGCUGCCCUGAAGAGGCAGGCGUGCGAGGUUCGACUCCUCGGCUCGGCA
rnacentral:tRNA from 1 species